UUGAUUACGUCCCUGCCCUUUGUACCACCGCCCGUCGCUGCCCGGGACUGAACCAUUUCGAGAAAACCGGGGAUUGUUGGCCUGACGGCUCUCGGGUCGUCUAGCCCAUGAGAACCGGCUUAAUCCCACUGGUUUGAACCGGGCAAAAGUCGUAACAAGGGAGCUGUAGGUGAACCUGCUGCUGGAUCAUUA
rnacentral:rRNA from 1 species